AGAGCGAACGCUGGCGGCAGGCCUAACACAUGCAAGUCGAGCGCCCGUAGCAAUACGGGAGCGGCAGACGGGAUAGUAACACGUGGGAACGCGCCCUUCGGUUCGGAAUAACUCAGGGAAACUUGAGCUAAUACCGAAUACGCCCUUACGGGGAAAGAUUUAUUGCCGAAGGAACGGCCCGCGUCCGAUUAGCUAGUUGGUGAGGUAAUGGCUCACCAAGGCUACGAUCGGUAGCUGGUCUGAGAGGAUGACCAGCAUCACUGGGACUGAGACACGGCCCAGACUCCUACGGGAGGCAGCAGUGGGGAAUAUUGGACAAUGGGCGCAAGCCUGAUCCAGCCAUGCCGCGUGGAUGAUGAAGGCCUUAGGGUUGUAAACUCUUUCGAGCAGGGACGAUUGUGACGGUACCGUGCAGAAGAAGCUCCGGCCAACUACGUGCCAGCAGCCGC
rnacentral:rRNA from 1 species